rnacentral:sRNA from 1 species
CCCUGGCCACGCAGAGCAGCCUGAGGCACAAUGCCUAUGUCACGGCGUGGCGGUUUGACCAGAAGCUGGGAACGUGGCUGAAGAGCGGUCUGGGUCUCGUGCACCAGGAAGGCAGCCAGCUGACGUGGACAUACAUUGCCCCCCAGUUGGGGUACUGGGUGGCCGCCAUGUCCCCUCCCAUCCCAGGAGGAAGUGCUUGAAACCUCGUCAGCACCACAGAAAACUGCAGCUCCCUGCAGGACUGGAGAGUUCCAAAAGAGACCAGUCCACGUCCAUGUCACACAUCAACUUGCUGUUUUCACGCCGAGCGUCAGAAUUCCCUGGCCCGCUGUCCGUCACCAGCCACGGCCGCCCCGAGGCCCCCGGCACGAAGGAGCUGAUGAGUGGAGUCCAUUUGGAAAUGAUGUCUCCGGGCGGCGAAGGGGACCUGCACACCCCCAUGCUCAAGCUCUCCUACAGCACCUCCCAGGAAUUUAGCUCCCGGGAGGAGCUCCUCUCUUGCAAGGAAGAGGAUAAAAGCCAGAUCUCCUUUGAUAACCUCACGCCAAGUGGGACUCUGAGGAAAGACUACCAUAAGUCAGUGGAGGUUUUUCCCUUAAAGGCAAGAAAAUCUAUGG